GCCCAUCGUAAGUGACCCCGGUCAGUCCCCUGGGCCUCUCAUAGUGCCAAAGCAAACAGUGACCCUGAACCAGUGGACAGCAGGCACUGAAGCAGGUUGUAAAGUG
rnacentral:snoRNA from 1 species